GUCAGUGACACACUAAACAGCCUAUCACGUGCUCUUUACCCUGGCGACAGAGUCACGACUGCAAAGCUGAGCUAUGUCACGAUUGUAACUCAGUCCUGUCACCAACGUUUUCAGGAACCAGUGACACCCAGGCCAAGGUGUCCAUUCGGUUAUUUCUGUGGCAGGACCGGCUGGCCACACACGGACUAUAAAACCAGGCGGCUUGGUCCACCUACACGGUCCCAGCUCCUUACCUAGACCCGUGGCUGCUGACAAUGUCCAGCCAGUGAGUCCGUGAGCCUGGAGGAGACGUCACCGCGGGAUGCAGUGGGAGGCUUCCUGUCCUCAGACGCAGGGGCCUUGCCACGCAAGACUGCGCCUGGAGCCAAGGAAGCGAGCAGAGGGUGCUGUGUGCCUCCUUAUGUCCCCCACUCAGCGCCGUCUGGGAAAGGGGCAGCUGAGAAGGCCCCUACGGACAGCUGGUGGCUGCUGACAUGGGCUCAGAGACCAGCCAAGGGGCAGGGCUGCUGGCCAGUGCUGACACUCGUGUGGUGCUCACGCUCCCUCUGCAGCUAAUUAGCAAACGUGACCACGUGACUCAAUGCCCGGGCUGACGUAACACCGUGGAGGGCACAGCCCCCGCUGUGAGGUAGGCGCAUAGGCGUGGGGUGGGCGAAUGUGUUCCCGGGGACUUGGGUACAGGUGACAGAGGCCGGGCACUGCAGGGUUACACAGUGUCACAGAGCUGGACCAAGCCCGGGCAUCAGCCUCACGGUGGGCACAGCUUCAAGCCACUCACGGCAGCUUUGGCUAGGGGGGCGCCUACUGGUUAGGACUUUGGGGCCCUGUCCCUGCUCCCAGAGCUGCGCCUGGGCCCGGCUGAGCGAAGGUGAGGGGUAACAGGUGACACCCUGGCAGGCAGGGGAGGGUGGUGGCAGUGGGGGAGCAGCUCUGGGGACUGUCAGGCAGCCUGGGACAGACUGAUGGUGACAGGAGCCACAGGCGAGAGCAGGCCCCACCCAGCUCCACUCGGCAUGGGAGGACACUUCUGGCUCUGCCGAGAAGCAGGCCACGUUUCCGGCGUCCGGGCCUGAGGCCGUCACGCGGGCUGUGCUGAGGGGCAGGCACGCGCGUUCUACGGAGCAGCCCUGUUCCCGGGGGGCAGCGGUCUCCCGGGACAUUUGACGAGCUAAUGCCCCACUCUCCAGGUGACACUGGCCAGAGGGACGCUUGCCACCACCGCGAACCCUGCCCGGUACCACCAGGGUCUAGAGUUCCUCAGGUCCAAACAGCACUGCCUCCCGGGUCGAGGCUCAAGUUGAUGUUGCAAAGAACCUUGGUGCCCUGGCCUCAGGCCACGCGGCCGAGGGGGAGAAGGACAAGGGGGCGGCUGGGAGAGGCCUGGACCCAGGUCCUGCGGGCACAGCUCCAACACGUCCAGGCUCAGGAGCCGGCCCGCGUCCCAGCUGUCACCGUCCCAGCCGUGGCGGUCACUCUGUCAAG